UCAUGUGUUAACCCUCUUUUCAUGGUGUUUCAGCUGCACUUAGUGCAUUGGAACGCAGUAAAAUUUGAAAACUUUGAGGAUGCAGCACUGGAAGAAAAUGGUUUGGCUGUGAUAGGAGUAUUUUUAAAGCUAGGCAAACAUCAUAAAGAGCUACAGAAAUUAGUGGAUACUUUGCCGUCAAUUAAGCAUAAGGUACUAUUUGUUUUCCUUAAUUACUUGAAAUAUACUUUUAUGUUUCAAUCUCAGAGCGGAGACAUUACCAAGGCACUUUGAAUUGGGAAGUUUAAUUAGGUGAACUGUAUUCAGCCUUAGAAGAAAACUUGCCAUUUAUGAUUCCAGGGGACAGAAGUCAUGAUUCUUCGGGUAGACAGUGAGCUUUCUGGUUUUGCUGCGGUGCCACUGAGGACUUGGGGACUCGGGAACAUAUUGCUGUCCCCUCCUCUGUUCCUGACACCGGCUCUUUCUAAGUCCUUGUGAACGCACCCAGAGCAGCCUUCUUUUCUGUAGCUGCCAUC
rnacentral:sRNA from 1 species